rnacentral:rRNA from 1 species
AUUGAACGCUGGCGGCAGGCCUAACACAUGCAAGUCGAACGGUAACAGGAAGAAGCUUGCUUCUUUGCUGACGAGUGGCGGACGGGUGAGUAAUGUCUGGGAAACUGCCUGAUGGAGGGGGAUAACUACUGGAAACGGUAGCUAAUACCGCAUAACGUCGCAAGCCCAAAGAGGGGGACCUUCGGGCCUCUUGCCAUCGGAUGUGCCCAGAUGGGAUUAGCUAGUAGGUGGGGUAACGGCUCACCUAGGCGACGAUCCCUAGCUGGUCUGAGAGGAUGACCAGCCACACUGGAACUGAAACACGGUCCAGACUCCUACGGGAGGCAGCAGUGGGGAAUAUUGCACAAUGGGCGCAAGCCUGAUGCAGCCAUGCCGCGUGUAUGAAGAAGGCCUUCGGGUUGUAAAGUACUUUCAGCGGGGAGGAAGGGAGUAAAGUUAAUACCUUUGCUCAUUGACGUUACCCGCAGAAGAAGCACCGGCUAACUCCGUG